CAGAGUGUAGCUAAAAUAGCAAAGCAUCUCCCUUACACCGAGAAGGUAUCCGUGCAACUCGGAUCACCCUGA
rnacentral:tRNA from 1 species